rnacentral:rRNA from 1 species
AUUGAACGCUGGCGGCAUGCCUUACACAUGCAAGUCGAACGGUAACAGGUCUUCGGAUGCUGACGAGUGGCGAACGGGUGAGUAAUACAUCGGAACGUGCCCGAUCGUGGGGGAUAACGAGGCGAAAGCUUUGCUAAUACCGCAUACGAUCUACGGAUGAAAGCGGGGGAUCUUCGGACCUCGCGCGGACGGAGCGGCCGAUGGCAGAUUAGGUAGUUGGUGGGAUAAAAGCUUACCAAGCCGACGAUCUGUAGCUGGUCUGAGAGGAUGAUCAGCCACACUGGGACUGAGACACGGCCCAGACUCCUACGGGAGGCAGCAGUGGGGAAUUUUGGACAAUGGGCGAAAGCCUGAUCCAGCCAUGCCGCGUGCAGGAUGAAGGCCUUCGGGUUGUAAACUGCUUUUGUACGGAACGAAAAGCCUCUUUCUAAGAAAGAGGGGUCAUGACGGUACCGUAAGAAUAAGCACCGGCUAACUACGUG